rnacentral:rRNA from 1 species
CCUACGGGAGGCAGCAGUGGGGGAUAUUGCACAAUGGGGGAAACCCUGAUGCAGCGACGCCGCGUGAGUGAAGAAGUAUUUCGGUAUGUAAAGCUCUAUCAGCAGGGAAGAAAAUGACAGUACCUGACCAAUAAGCCCCGGCUAACGACGUGCCAGCAGCCGCGGUAAUACGUAGGGGGCAAGCGUUAUCCGGAUGUACUGGGUGUAAAGGGAGCGUAGACGGUUAUGUAAGUCUGGAGUGAAAGCCCUGGGCCCAACCCCGGGACUGCUUUGGAAACUGUGUAACUGGAGUACAGGAGGGGCAGGCGGAAUUCCUGGUGUAGCGGUGAAAUGCGUAGAUAUCAGGAGGAACACCGGCGGCGAAGGCGGCCUGCUGGACUGAAACUGACGUUGAGGCUCGAAAGCGUGGGGAGCGAACAGGAUUAGAUACCCCUGUAGUC